rnacentral:rRNA from 1 species
AUUGAACGCUGGCGGCAGGCCUAACACAUGCAAGUCGAGCGAGCGGCGGACGGGUGAGUAAUGUCUGGGAAACUGACUGAUGGAGGGGGAUAACUACUGGAAACGGUAGCUAAUACCGCAUACCAUCAGAUGUGCCCAGAUGGGAUUAGCUAGUAGGUGGGGUAACGGCUCACCUAGGCGACGAUCCCUAGCUGGUCUGAGAGGAUGACAAGCCACACUGGAACUGAGCCACGGUCCCGACUCCUACGGGAGGCAGCAGUGGGGAAGAUUGCACAAUGGGCGCAAGCCUGAUGCAGCCAUGCCGCGUGUAUGAAGAAGGCCUUCGGGUUUUAAAGUACUUUCAGCGGGGAGGCGUUACCCGCAGAAGAAGCACCGGCUAACUCCGUGCCAGCAGCCGCGGUAAUUC